rnacentral:rRNA from 1 species
UACGGAGGGUGCGAGCGUUGUCCGGAAUCAUUGGGCGUAAAGGGCGCGUAGGUGGCCCGGUCAGUCCGUGGUGAAAGCGCGGGGCUCAACCCUGCGUCGGCCAUGGAUACUGCCCGCGGCUGGAGCACUGUAGAGGCAGGCGGGAAUUCCGGUGUAGGCGGUGGAAUGCGUAGAGAUCCGGAAGAACACCGGUGGCGAAGGCGGCCUGCUGGGCAGUUGCUGACACUGAGGUGCGAAAGCGUGGGAGCAAACGAGGUUGAGAA